GACUUGUGUGUGCUUGCAAUUAGCGGUCAGUUCCCAAAAGGGUUCUCCGACAUGCGUUGCAGGUGCCGUCAAACCUUCAACUGGAUCGCAACUGGACUUAAUUGCCUGGUUGCAGUCAUUCGGUUGAUCGUUUACUGUGAGAAAAUUAGAGUGUUCAAGGCAGGCAUUAUUGCAAUUGAAUAUGUUAGCAUGGAAUAAUAAGAUAAGGCUUUCGCGUUUAUUUUGUUGGUUUCUAGAUCGGAAGUAAUGAUUGAUAGGGACAGUUGGGGGUGCUAGUAUUCAGCGGCCAGAGGUGAAAUUCAUGGAUUCGCUGAAGACUAACUUAUGCGAAAGCAUU
rnacentral:rRNA from 1 species